rnacentral:rRNA from 1 species
AAAAUAUUUUAAUUUUUAUUAUUUUUUGUUGUGGUAUCAAAAAUUUGUUUUUUGAACUGGAUUAGUACCCAGGUAAUCAAAAUUUAUUAAUUCGGGAGUAAAGUUUUGUUUAAACCGAAAAAAUAUUGACUGACCUUAGAUUUUUCUUUGGAAUAUGUGUUUUGUUGGAGAGCCCUCCUUAUUAGUGAAUUUUGUUGGCACAUGUAUGAUUGUUUAGUUUUUAUUUUAUUUUGUAAUGCUUUUUGUUUUGGCAUUUAAAACAGAUAUAUACUUGGCUUAUAAAUUUAUUUUUCAUGUAUUACUAUUAUAAAUUUUUUUUGGAUUAAUUUUUUAUUUUUUUUUGA